GGGUUGUGAGGUUAAGCGACUAAGCGUACACGGUGGAUGCCCUGGCAGUCAGAGGCGAUGAAGGACGUGCUAAUCUGCGAAAAGCGUCGGUAAGGUGAUAUGAACCGUUACAGCCGGCGAUGUCCGAAUGGGGAAACCCAGUGCAAUUCGUUGCACUAUCGUUAACUGAAUACAUAGGUUAACGAGGCGAACCGGGGGAACUGAAACAUCUAAGUACCCCGAGGAAAA
rnacentral:rRNA from 1 species